rnacentral:rRNA from 1 species
UACAGAGGUCCCAAGCGUUGUUCGGAUUUACUGGGCGUAAAGGGUGCGUAGGCGGCAGGGAAAGUUCGAGGUGAAAUCUCCAGGCUCAACUUGGAAACUGCCUUGAAUACUUCCUUGCUAGAGGGUCGCAGAGGAGAUUGGAAUUCUCGGUGUAGCAGUGAAAUGCGUAGAUAUCGAGAGGAACAUCAGUGGCGAAAGCGAAUCUCUGGGCGACAUCUGACGCUGAGGCACGAAAGCGUGGGGAUCAAACAGG